rfam:Porphyromonas asaccharolytica DSM 20707, complete genome.
GCAGUAGAUCGGCUUGUCGCUGUCGUAAGAGGGUGAGAGCCUCGGCUCCGCCCGCAAGCGAGAGAGGAAAGUCCGGGCAACGCAGAGUACCAUACUCCCUAACAGAGAGCUAUCCGCGAGGGUAGGUGACGUGUAGAAGAGAAUGACCGCCUAGAGCUGCCUACGGCACGCUAGGUAAGGGUGAGAAGGUGAGGUAAGAGCUCACCAGCAGUGUGGGUGACCCACUGGCUGUACACACUAUGGGUUGCAAGAUCAAGUAUACCGACGCUAUGAGGGCUACUCGUCCUAGUCGGAGGGUAGAUUGCUAGAGGCACUCGGCAACGGGUGUCGUAGAUAAAUGACAAGCGCCACUCCUCGUGACUGGCACAGAACCCGGCUUAUAGACCUACUGUCCUC